AUGGCGGCGCUACCAUGCAAGUCGAACGGUAACAGGAAAAGCUUGCUUCUUUGCUGACGAGUGGCGGACGGGUGAGUAAUGUCUGGGAAACUGCCUGAUGGAGGGGGAUAACUACUGGAAACGGUAGCUAAUACCGCAUAACGUCGCAAGACCAAAGAGGGGGACCUUCGGGCCUCUUGCCAUCGGAUGUGCCCAGAUGGGAUUAGCUAGUAGGUGGGGUAACGGCUCACCUAGGCGACGAUCCCUAGCUGGUCUGAGAGGAUGACCAGCCACACUGGAACUGACACACGGUCCAGACUCCUACGGGAGGCAGCAGUGGGGAAUAUUGCACAAUGGGCGCAAGCCUGAUGCAGCCAUGCCGCGUGUAUGAAGAAGGCCUUCGGGUUGUAAAGUACUUUCAGCGGGGAGGAAGGGAGUAAAGUUAAUACCUUUGCUCAUUGACGUUACCCGCAAAAAAAGCACCGGCUAACUCCGUGCCAACUUCCGCGGUAAUACGGAGGGUGCAAGCGUUAAUCGGAAUUACUGGGCGUAAAGCGCACGCAGGCGGUUUGUUAAGUCAGAUGUGAAAUCCCCGGGCUCAACCUGAGAACUGCAUCUGAUACUGGCAAGCUUGAGUCUCGUAGAGGGUGGUAGAAUUCCAGGUGUAGCGGUGAAAUGCGUAGAGAUCUGGAUGAAUACCGGUGGCGAAAGCGGCCCCCUGGACGAAGACUGACUCUCAUGUGCGACAGCGUGGGGAGCAAACACGAUUAGAUACCCUGGUAGUCCACGCCGUAGACGAUGUCGACUUGCAUGUUGUGCCCUUGAGCGUGACUUUCC
rnacentral:rRNA from 1 species